UCCAAUACAUCAAAGGAUUGUGGGUCCUUGGAUCAAACCUGUUAAAUGAGUUAGAGGCUGAUGUCGGUUUGUUCAAACACUGUGAAUGAGGCGUAGAAGCGGCAGGUGCGCCACCUGUCGAAACAGGAGGCUUCACUGCGUCUGCGCUUCGGGAUCUCGACACAGCGUCGACACGUCAGUAUCGAGCGUCUCAUCCCUGCCGAACGGUAGGAUGCGAAGCUGCUCGAGCAGAAGCAGAGUUUAGAAGACAGAAGAGGUGAAAUGACAAAGAUCAGGUUUUCAGUCAGACAGCUUCAGAGUGUUUGGAGAGGACCGGGCAGAGCGGAGGGCGGAGUCUCAGCUGGCUGACAGAGAGCAGCUGAGUGACGGCGAGCUCUGGAGGAGUUAGCCGCGGCGCCGCUGAAGCUUUGGACAAAUAAAGACCUGCAGUGGGAUUCUGCUCUGAUAAUGGAGCCGUUUACCGUCGAUCCAAACUCCAUUCAGAAAACAAGCAUUUUAAAAGUUGUUGUCCUGAUAUUACGAUAUUUGAUUCUCCACGAUUAUGUCUCCACGAUCUGCCUUUUCAUAGAGAUCGUUAGUAUCGCGCUACAGUACGCAGUCUAUCAGUUUGGUUCUGUGGCUCUGUACAUGCAGCUGACAGCUGUUCUGUCAACAUCGCAAGUCAGCUGCCUCGCUGCCUGCGUCCUACGCUGUCUACAAAGGCAACACUGGAACUGCUGGGCCUCAUAAAGUUAACAGUGUAGUUGUCCCCUGGCUGCUCUGCCUCAACUCUCCGGGAUUUACGGAGUUUGCUGAUGAACAGAAAAUGUUACUGGUUGCUAAAGUUACUGCUAACCGCGGCUAACAAGCUGCCGUUAGCGCAGUUACCCUAAUGGUCAUAGCUGACUCAGCCCGGAGAGGGAGCUCGGAGCCCCUAGGAGUGUGUUAGUUUUUAACGUUACACCUCUGCUUGAGCACUGGAGGUUUCAGGCCAGGAUAACGUCAGCGAGCGGUCAACGAAACCGCGUCUUGUGUCUUGAAGAACAGAUACAUUUACUAAACUGAUAAGUUAACUCUAUCUGUCUGUAUCUGAGGCAAGUGAGCUCAGUUAGCAGCGCUGCUAGCUGUCCGACACUGUAUUCCCUAACUGGCCUCUGUCUGUCUCGGAGGCUGCGAACCAGUCCGCACCAUAGAUUAUAUAAAAAGGUCUGUUCAGCGUUAUUAGCAACGCCAGUCAAUAUCUGUAACAAGUGCCCCUCCCUGUCUUUGUGUUUUUAAAUAUGCAGAAGAAAACAGCACAUUCAU